rnacentral:rRNA from 1 species
AUCGCUGUGAAGAUGCAGUGUACCCGCGGCUAGACGGAAAGACCCCGUGAACCUUUACUAUAGUUUUGCACUGGACUUUGAUGAUGACUGUGUAGGAUAGGUGGGAGGCUGUGAAGUGAGGACGCUAGUUCUCAUGGAGCCGCCCUUGAAAUACCACCCUGUUGUUAUUGAGGUUCUAACUUGGUCCAGUAAUCCUGGAUGAGGACAGUGUAUGAUGGGUAGUUUGACUGGGGCGGUCUCCUCCCAAAGAGUAACGGAGGAGCACAAAGGUACCCUCGGUACGGUCGGACAUCGUACCAAGAGUGUAAAGGCAAAAGGGUGCUUGACUGCGAGAGUGACGGCUCGAGCAGGAACGAAAGUUGGUCUUAGUGAUCCGGUGGUUCUGAAUGGAAGGGCCAUCGCUCAACGGAUAAAAGGUACUCCGGGGAUAACAGGCUGAUACCGCCCAAGAGUUCAUAUCGACGGCGGUGUUUGGCACCUCGAUGUCGGCUCAUCACAUCCUGGGGCUGAAGCAGGUCCCAAGGGUAUGGCUGUUCGCCAUUUAAAGUGGUACGCGAGCUGGGUUUAGAACGUCGUGAGACAGUUCGGUCCCUAUCUGCCGUGGGCGUAGGAAAAUUGAGAGGAGCUGCUCCUAGUACGAGAGGACCGGAGUGGACGAACCUCUGGUGCACCGGUUGUCACGCCAGUGGCAUGGCCGGGUAGCUAAGUUCGGACGGGAUAACCGCUGAAAGCAUCUAAGCGGGAAGCCUCCCUCAAGAUGAGUUUUCCCAUGAAGCCCGUUGAAGACUACGACGUUGAUAGGCAAGGUGUGGAAGCGCAGUAAUGCGUGAAGCUAACUUGUACUAAUUGGCUGAUUGUCUUGACCAUAUAAUCUGAG